GCCUAGCCCUAAACACAAGUAGCAAUCUCACACCUGCUACUCGCCCGGGAACUACGAGCAUAAGCUUAAAACCCAAAGGACUUGGCGGUGCUUUAGACCCACCUAGAGGAGCCUGUUCUAGAACCGAUAACCCCCGUUCAACCUCACCCUUCCUUGUUUAACCCGCCUAUAUACCGCCGUCGUCAGCUUACCCUGUAAAGGACACAUAGUAAGCAAAAUUGGCAUAGCCCAAAACGUCAGGUCGAGGUGUAGCGUAUGGAAGGGGAAGAAAUGGGCUACAUUCACUGGCACAGUACAUACGAACGAUGAAUUGAAACCAGACAUCCGAAGGAGGAUUUAGCAGUAAGAAGGAAAGCAGAGCGUUCCCCUGAAACUGGCCCUGAAGCGCGC
rnacentral:rRNA from 1 species